rnacentral:lncRNA from 1 species
UUUUUCUGCCUUCUGCCCUCCUAAGCCUACGUAAUAGGGCGUGGCUGUGGAGAGAGGGAGGGGCGGGGAGUUUGUUGGAGCUGAGUGCUUGGGAGAGGCACCGCUUCGGAAGGGGAGGAAAUGAUACACAGGAUGAAGAUGAAGAGGACGACGAAGAGGAGGAGCUUGAGCUAUCUGAAUCUGUUUCACUGUCCGAAUCCGAGUCCAAGGAGUCCGAGGCCUGCAGCACUGGCGGCGGCUCCGCGGCGUUCGGGCCGGGGACGCAGACCCCGCUCGGCAGCGGCGGUCUUCCGCCGGGAUCCGAGUUCGGGGCUGGCGGCGGCGGCGGUCUUCCCCCGGGAUCCAAGUUCGGGGCUGGCGGCGGCGGUCUUCCCCCGGCAUCCGAGUUCGGGGCUGGCGGCGGCGGCGGUCUUCCCCCGGGAUCCGAGUUCGGGGCUGGCGGCGGCGGUCUUCCACCGGCAUCCCAGUUCGGGGUUGGCGGCGGCGGCGAUCUUCCGCUGGGAUCCGAGCUCGGGGCUAGCGGCGUCGGUCUUCCGCCGGCGUCCCAGUUCGGGGUUGGCGGAGGCGGCGGUCUUCCGCCGGGAUCCGAGUUCGGGGCUGGCGGCGGCGGCUGCUCCCCCGGCGGCGGGGCCUCCCGGCGCUCCUGAGGUGGCGGCGAAGCUGCCGACCCCUGGCCUGAGCCACCGAACUUGAGCGUCUGCAGUUGCUCGGUGGCCUCCACCACCUCCAUGGCGCAGCCCAGGGCGCAGAGCAGCGCGAGGGUCCCCUCAGAAGCCGAGCUAGCCAACGCGGCCGCGCUGAAAUCCCAGUAAUGAAUUUUUAAUUCUGGGUCUAUUAGACCUCAGUGGAUAAAUAUAGGAGUAUAAAUACAAUGCUUGAGCUUUGGUCUAAGGCCAUUACAAAGAGAAUUCAAGUAACAAUGUUAGUAUGUAGUUAGUUGUAUUAGGGUUCUCUAGAGUCACAGAACUUAUGGAUAGUCUCUAUAUAGUAAAGGAAUUUAUUGAUGACUUACAGUCUGCAGUCCAAUUCCCAACAAUGGUUCAGUAGUAGCUAUGAAUGGAAGUCCAAGGAUCUAGCAGUUACUCAAUCCCAAACGGCAAGCAGGAGAGGGGCAAGAGCGAGACUCCCUGCUUCCAAUGUCCUUAUAUUGUCUCCAGCAGAAGGUGUAGCCCAGAUUAAAGGUGUGUUCCACCACACCUUUAAUCCCAGAUGACCUUGAACUUGGAGAUUUAAUCUUCUGGAAUCCAUAGCCACUAUGCCUCUAGAUCUCCAUACCAAGAUCCAGAUCAGAAACUUCUAUCUCCCAGCCUCCAGAGAAGGGUCACUGGUGAGCCUUCCAAUUCUGGAUUGUAGUUCAUUCCAAAUAUAGUCAAGUUGACAACCAGGAAUAGCUACUACAGUAGUUCUCAUGGAAACCUAUCUGUUUUCUCUUAUUCCUUUUCUUAUUUACAUGUUCCUGGUAGCCUAGGCCAAGAUCUUAAGCGAGAAUAAUGGGUAAGAAACCAUCCCUAGAGAUGGGGCCAUUAACAUGACCAUAUUAUCCCCAGGGAAAUCAACACUUUACUUUCUAAAUCAUUUACAGAACCAUUAUGAUAGAUAAAAAACUUUCCCAACAAUAAAAUUUCAUGUGGCUACACGUGUGCCAUCGGAGGUGGAUUUUGGUAUAUGGUAAAGAAAGCCUUAAUUAGAAAGAAUUAAAAUAGUUUAAAUUUAUACAUUGAAGAUUAUAAAAAAUCAGGCACUAGAUGUUAAAUAAUAAUUGACAAUGAGACUGGAAAGUUAGUUCAGUGGUUAAGAGCACUGACCGUUAAAGAUUUAUUAACCUGCUCCUGGAAAUAUGACACUAGCCUUGAAGACAGUCCCCACUGAAUAUAUCAUUUUAGAAUGGUUACAUUUUGAUGACUUAUGAUGUUAUCUGUUCUGUUUGGGAUUCACUGAAUACAUAGUUUAAGAGUUGUAAUGCAGCUGGGCAUGGUGGCGCACACCUUUGAUCCCAGCACUGGGGAGGCAGAGGCAGGCGGAUUUUUGAGUUCGAGGCCAGCCUGGUCUACAAAAUGAGUUCCAUGACAGCCAGGGCUAUACAGAG